rnacentral:rRNA from 1 species
AGGACGAACGCUGGCGGCGUGCUUAACACAUGCAAGUCGAGCGGAAAGGCCCUUCGGGGUACUCGAGCGGCGAACGGGUGAGUAACACGUGAGCAACCUGGCCCUUGCUUUGGGAUAACCCCGGGAAACCGGGGCUAAUACCGAAUAUUCACUGUCUGCCGCAUGGUGGGUGGUGGAAAGAUUUAUUGGCGGGGGAUGGGCUCGCGGCCUAUCAGCUUGUUGGUGGGGUGAUGGCCUACCAAGGCGACGACGGGUAGCCGGCCUGAGAGGGCGACCGGGCCAACGACCUGGGACUGAGACACGGCCCAGACUCCUACGGGAGGCAGCAGUGGGGAAUAUUGGACAAUGGGCGAAAGCCUGAUCCAGCAACGCCGCGUGAGGGAUGACGGCCUUCGGGUUGUAAACCUCUUUCAGCGCAGACGAAGCGAAAGUGACGGUAUGCGCAGAAGAAGCACCGGCAACUACGUGCCAGCAGCCGC